rnacentral:tRNA from 1 species
CCACCCUUAGCUCAGAUGGAUAGAGCGCUGCCCUCCGGAGGCAGAGGCCGCAGGUUCGACUCCUGCAGGGUGGGCCA